GAGAACGUUUCUGUCGAUGCCCAGGAGAGACUUGACAGGCUGGGACUAUUUUCCCUGGAGCAAACGAGUCUGAGGGGUGAGUUGCAGAGUCGGGAGUUGGAGCAAGAUUUGGAGCAGGACCUUUGAAAAGAGGCUCCGUGUCCUCCUCACAACCUGCUGACCCACCUGUCUUUGUAUCAGCAGCACAUUCGGCCCAAGGAUCCCUCGUCCGCUACAUCCAAGUCACUGACACAGGCUGUAACCAGUUCAGUGCCACACUGACCCCUGUGGCCCCCACUAGUUACUGAUCACCAGUCUGAAAAUGACCCAUUUAUCCCGACUCUGUUUCUAAGUUAACUGCUCCCUUAUCUGUGCCAAGUGUUUUCCCCACCCUGUGUCCACUGAUCUGGUGCAGUGAC